rnacentral:tRNA from 1 species
GGAGAGGUGGCAGAGUGGCCGAAUGCGCCGCCUUGCUAAGGCGGUGAGCCCUCGCGGGUUCCGUGGGUUCGAAUCCCACCCUCUCCGCCA